rnacentral:rRNA from 1 species
AUUGAACGCUGGCGGCAGGCCUAACACAUGCAAGUCGAACGAGCGGCGGACGGGUGAGUAAUGUAUGGGGACUGCCCGAUAGAGGGGGAUAACCACUGGAAACGGUGGCUAAUACCGCAUACUAUCGGAUAACCCAUAUGGGAUUAGCUAGUAGGUGGGGUAAAGGCUCACCAAGGCGACGAUCUCUAGCGGGUCUGAGAGGAUGAUCGGCCACACUGGGACCUGGACACGGCCCAGACUCCUACGGAGGGAGAAGUGGGGAAUAUUGGACAAUGGGCGAAAGCCUGAUGCAGCCAUGCCGCGUGGAUUAAAAAGGCCUUUGGGUUUUAAAGGACUUUCAGCGGGGAGGCGUUACCCGAAGAAGAAGCACCGGCUAACCCCGUGCCAGCAGCCGCGGUAAUAC